UUGAUGAUAAUGGACUGAACCCUGAACCUAGUGAUCUGAGUGUAAGAACUGAGAUGGCCUCAUCAUCCUGCAUCUCUGUGUGGAUAUGAACAGAGCUCCCCGACCAUUCAGACGGAACAAGGAGCAGACACCACCGGAAUGAAGAGGUUUUAAUCCAACUACGGGUACACGAUUCAGCAUGGUAAAAAGGAGACUACCAGCAUCAGGCAGCAAGACAAAAGGAUUACAAUUUGGAGGCUGUGAGUCCCUGUUUCAGAAAAGAACGAAAACUAACAAGUACGCUAACAACUCAAUGAUUAAACGACCGUGCAACUUAACAGUGGACAGAGGAAAGUACAUCCAGUGGUGGACACAGCAGGGGCAGAGGCUCAAGUUCACCUCCAGCUAUGUGGAAAAAGCCUGCCUUGAUAUUCAAACGAUCAGGUAAUUUUAAGUUCCAGAUAAAAUCCACUUAUCACCUGGCACAGUCUGUCAAUAUUUUCUUCGGUUGGCAUCACAAAGUACACUGCAGGAACAUCUGGAAUCGGAUCUCGGUCUGAGUGCAAAAGGCUGGAAAACAGAAAGAACAACAGCAACUCAUUUUUCCCCUUAGCUCUAAGAAGAAGCCCACAGUUCCCACUAAAGAAGCCUUACCUUCC